CCUACGGGUGGCUGCAGUGGGGAAUAUUGGGCAAUGGGCGCAAGCCUGACCCAGCAACGCCGCGUGAAGGAAGAAGGCUUUCGGGUUGUAAACUUCUUUUGACAGGGAAGAGCAGAAGACGGGAACCGUCGAAUUAGCCAUGGCUAACCACGUGCCAGCAGCCGGGGUAAUACGUAGGUGGCAAACGUUGUCCGGAAUUACUGGGCGUAAAGGGCGUGUAGCCGGGCUAGCAAGUUAGAUGUGAAAACCGGGGGCUCAACCCCCGAACUGCUAUUGAAAAUGUUUGUCUUGAGUGUCGGAGAGGCAGGUGGAAUUCCUAGUGUAGCGGUGGAAUGCGUAGAUAUUAGGAGGAACACCAGUGGCGAAGGCGACCUGCUGGACGACAACUGACAGUGAGGCGCGAAAGCGUGGGGAGCAAACAGGAUUAGAUACCCCAGUAGUC
rnacentral:rRNA from 1 species